CUGGGUGCCAGGCCCAGCCUGGGCCUCCCUUGUCGGGUGCUUGGGCCCCACUUCCCUCCCUGGGGAGGGGAGGAGAGGCCACCUCGAGGGAGUGACGUCAAGGCAGGGUGACAUUAGUCUGGGCCCACGGGAUCCUUGCUACUUCCCCAUUUUAUGGAGGGGAAACUGAGCCCUGGGUUCGACGGGGGAAGCAGUCACCUGAUGGGCAAGUGCUCUGAGUGGUGCAUGAAGGUGGCUGUCCGGGCGGCUGUCUGUGCUGUCGGUUAAUCCUCACGGCUUCCGGGAGUUAAAGGCCCAGCCUAAAACCGGGGUCAGGCACAGAACAGUGCUUUGGAGGGGAGCUCUGGGCACACCUGGCCCCUAGUGAGUGUGAAUUUGCGUCAGAGAGCUGUUGAGACCCACGGGGCCACCUUGAGGGUGCCGGGGUCUUCCCACGGAUUUCUCCACCCAGGUGAACUCCUCCCUCACCUCCCCGACGGGGCGAGGCUCCAUGGCUGCCCCCUCGCUGCACCCGUCCCUGGGGCCUGGCAUCGGCUCCCCGGGACAGCUGCACUCUCCCAUCAGCACCCUGAGCUCCCCCAUCAACGGCAUGGGCCCGCCUUUCUCGGUCAUCAGCUCCCCCAUGGGCCCCCACUCCAUGUCGGUGCCUACAACACCCACCCUGGGCUUCGGCACUGGCAGCCCCCAGCUCAGCUCACCCAUGAACCCCGUCAGCAGCAGCGAGGACAUCAAGCCCCCCCUGGGCCUCAAUGGCGUCCUCAAGGUCCCCGCCCACCCCUCAGGAAACAUGGCUUCCUUCACCAAGCACAUCUGUGCCAUCUGCGGGGACCGCUCCUCAGGCAAGCACUACGGAGUGUACAGCUGCGAGGGGUGCAAGGGCUUCUUCAAGCGGACGGUGCGCAAGGACCUGACCUACACUUGCCGCGACAACAAGGACUGCCUGAUUGACAAGCGGCAGCGGAACCGGUGCCAGUACUGCCGCUACCAGAAGUGCCUGGCUAUGGGCAUGAAGCGGGAAGCCGUGCAGGAGGAGCGGCAGCGUGGCAAGGACCGGAACGAGAAUGAGGUGGAGUCGACCAGCAGCGCCAAUGAGGACAUGCCGGUGGAGAGGAUCCUGGAGGCUGAGCUGGCCGUGGAGCCCAAGACUGAGACCUACGUGGAGGCAAACAUGGGUCUAAACCCCAGCUCGCCAAACGACCCCGUCACCAACAUUUGCCAAGCAGCUGACAAGCAGCUCUUCACCCUGGUGGAGUGGGCCAAGCGGAUCCCACACUUCUCAGAGCUGCCCUUGGACGACCAGGUCAUCCUGCUGCGGGCAGGCUGGAAUGAGCUGCUCAUCGCCUCCUUCUCCCACCGCUCCAUCGCCGUGAAGGACGGGAUCCUCCUGGCCACCGGGCUGCACGUCCACCGGAACAGCGCCCACAGCGCAGGGGUGGGCGCCAUCUUUGACAGGGUGCUGACGGAGCUCGUGUCCAAGAUGCGGGACAUGCAGAUGGACAAGACGGAGCUGGGCUGCCUGCGUGCCAUCGUCCUCUUCAACCCUGACUCCAAGGGGCUCUCGAACCCGGCUGAGGUGGAGGCGCUGAGGGAGAAGGUCUACGCAUCCCUGGAGGCCUACUGCAAGCACAAGUACCCAGAGCAGCCGGGAAGGUUCGCCAAGCUCUUGCUCCGCCUGCCGGCUCUGCGCUCCAUCGGGCUCAAGUGCCUGGAACAUCUCUUCUUCUUCAAGCUCAUCGGGGACACGCCCAUUGACACCUUCCUCAUGGAGAUGCUGGAGGCGCCGCACCAAAUGACUUAGGCCUGCGGGCCCAUCCUAUGUGCCCACCCGUUCUGGCCACCCUGCCUGGACGCCAGCUGUUCUUCUCAGCCUGAGCCCUGUCCCUGCCCUUCUCUGCCUGGCCUGUUUGGACUUUGGGGCACAGCCUGUCACUGCUCUGCCUAAGAGAUGUGUUGUCACCCUCCUUAUUUCUGUUACUACUUGUCUGAGGCCCAGGGCAGUGGCUUUCCUGAGGCAGCAGCCUUCGUGGCAAGAACUAGCGUGAGCCCAGCCAGGCGCCUCCCCACUGGGCUCUCAGGACGCCCUGCCACACCCCACGGGGCUUGGGCGACUACAGGGUCUUCAGGCCCCAGCCCUGGAGCUGCAGGAGUUGGGAACGGGGCUUUUGUUUCCGUUGCUGUUUAUCGAUGCUGGUUUUCAGAAUUCCUGUGUGGCCCUCUUGUCUGGAGUGACAUCUUCACCUGCUCUGAAUACUGGUGCCCAGCCAGCCCGUGACAGCUUCCCCCUAAUCAGGAGGAGGGGACAGCUGGGGGCGCAAGCUGGUGUGUCGUCAGCAAAGACCUCAGCCGCCUCGGGGAUGAGAGGGGACUCGUGGGGCCAGCAGGCCGCCCUGUGCUCUGAGUGAGGGGGAAAGUAGCCCCUUUUUCCAAAGAUAACUCACAGUUUUGCCCUCGAGCCAAUGAGAACGUGAGCUGCCCUGUGUGCAAGGUUUCGGGGCCACCUCCAGGCUGCAGGGACAGGGGUCACUCACCCCCCCUGGGUUUUCUCUCUGCCUUGGUGUCCUGGUUUCAGACUCCCUGCUCCCUGUGCAGACCAGAGUGCCCCGGCCCCUCCCCAGCCUGAGUCUUCUCCUUGCUCUGUGGGGUGGGCCGAGGCUUGUCCUUGGUUCCUGCAGGGCUGGCCCCGGCUCGGUGGGGCGUCACCACCUCACUGGCCUUGCUGGAGGCACAGGGCUCUGCUGACCUGCAGUCAUCUGUGAGGCCCGUGGGGAUGGGAGGGGAGGAGGGUGGCCUGUUGGUUUCCCUCAGGGGGCAGGUGGCCUAGAGAGAGAGGGGCUCAGGAACUGGGAGCCUCGUGGGUGGGGCAGAUGCUCCGCGGCCUGGAGUGGCUCUGCGGGGGCAUUGGUGGGACCCCUGCUCAGGCCUUCUCUCUGGCUGCCAGCUGUGUUAAAAGACUCUUGGAAUCUGAGAACCCUGAGUCGCAGCGCCCUCGGGCCUGGGCCACACGCAGGCCUUGGUGGGACCACCCAGCCUGGUAUUGUCCACGGACAGCGUUGUUCACCCAGAGCCUUACUUGGGAGCCUCACUGAACGCCUGCUCUGGUUGAAGGUGCGGGGGGGCUUGGGACCUCCCUGGCUCAGCCCAGUGCGGCCCAGCGCUCCUCCCGCAGGCUCUGCCCCUGGGCUCUGGUGGUGCGGGGCCCUCUCAGGUUGAACUCGCCUCUUUUGCACUGGAAGGCCCUCCCUUUGGCCUGAGUACUUUUCGUGUUCACGCCUCAGUCCCAUGGACCCAGCCUUUGUCAGUGGCAGGUGCCUGAACAGAGGAUGGAUGGGGGGAUACAGGAGGGGGUCUUGUCUUCCCAGCCGCAGUCUAGGAAUGAUGCAGGGGAGUGGGCGCCUUCUCCAUAGUCUUUCCCCACCUGGAGCAGGGGCUUCCUCAGUGGCGAGGGGAGCUGCCUAUGAGUUGGACCGGGAGGCAGUGGCUUGGAGAGGCAGCUUUCCAGCCUUGGUGGGGAAGAAAGUGUCCAUUCUUUGCCUUCCUGGAGCUCCCAGCCAGAGCUGAGCUUAGGCACCCGGGUGGAGCCUGCAGUUGGGUCUGUACCCGAGACAGGCUGUCAGAGAUUCCAGAAGCCUCUCCUUCCCGCCCCCCUCCACCCCUGCCUUUCAGCGUUGUGGAUCCCCAGAGGUGGCCACCUGCCCGAUCCACCAUCCUGAGGCAGAGUGUUGAGCCUCAUACCUGUACCAGGUCCCUGGCCAGCUGGGCCCCUCCCAGGCACUGCCAGGAAGCCCCAGCUGCCCCUGGGGGGUGUGGUGGAAACGGCAGGAGGGUGCAGUCACUCUUGGGGCCCCAGUGGCGGGAGCGUGAAAGACCCAACGCCAACACCUGGUGCCUUCUGCAGCCAGCGCCCACCCGUCCGUGCCCGGACCCUUGGGAAUGCCCGCGGCUCCAGAGGAAAAAGCCCAGGGACGGGGCCUCCGUUGUGAGGGGUCGGCUUCUUGGGAGCUUUGUCGUUUCCGGCGCUGGCUGGCUGGCUGUAAAGCACUGAAGCCCCCCGGGCCGCCAACCCCUGAAAGCAGAACCCGGCCUCCCUGGCCGCAGCAGCCUUACCCACCGCUCCACGUGUCCCGGGCACUUCCUGCAGCCUUCCCGUCCCUUUCUCAUCGGCCUUGUGGUUGUACAGUGCUGUUGGUUUGAAAAGGUGACGCGUGGGGAGUGUGGCUCAUCACUGAGUAGGGAGGUAGAGUUUCUAUUUAACCAGACCUGUAGUAGUAUUACCAAUCCAGUUCAAUUAAGGUGAUUUUUUGUAAUUAUUAUUAUUUUGGUGGGACAAUCUUUAAUUUUCUAAAGAUAGCACUAACAUCAGCUCAUUAGCCACCUGUGCCUGUCCCCGCCUUGGCCAGGCUGGAUGAAGCGGCUUCCCUGCAGGGCGCCCCCCUUCCCAGCGGCUGCUUCCUGGGGCCCCGGGGCACCCCGGCACCUUCAGGCACGCUCCUCAGCUGGUCACCUCCCGGCUUUGCCGUUCAGAUGGGGCUUCUGAGGCUCAGGAGUGAAGAUGCCACAGAGCCGGGCUCCGCUAGGCAGCGUCGGGCAUGCUUGGAAGCUGUCCUGCCAGGACCUUCCACCCUGGGGCCUGUGUCAGCCGCCGGCCCUCCGCACCCUGGAAGCACACGGCCUCUGGGAAGGACAGCCCUGACCUUCGGUUUUCCAAGCACGGUGUUUCCCAAGAAUUCUGGGCUGGCGGCCUGGUGGCAGUGCUGGAGAUGACCCUGAGCCCCUCCCCGUGGGGCACCCAGGAGGGCCCUGCCGGAAUGUGCAGCCUGUGGGUAGUCGGCUGGUGUCCCUGUCAUGGAGCUGGGGUGUGUGAUCUGGUGCUCAUCCACGCAGGUGUGUGGUGUAAACAUGUAUGUGCUGUACAGAGAGACGCGUGUGGAGAGAGCUGCACACCAGCGCCACGCAGGAGAGGCGGAGCGGUUACCAGUGUUUUGUGUUUAUUUUUAAUCAAGACAUUUCCCCUGUUUUCCUAUAAAUUUGCUUCAUGUAAGCAAGUACAUAAGGACCCUCCUUUGGUGAAAUCCGGGUUCAAAUGAAUAUCUCAAGGCAGGAGAUGCAUCUAUUUUAAGAUGCUUUGGAGCAGACAGCUUUAGCCAUUCCCAAUCCUUAGCAAUGCCUUAGCUGGGACGCAUAGCUAAUACUUUAGAGAGGAUGACAGAUCCAUAAAGAGAGUAAAGAUAAGAGAAAAUGUCUAAAGCAUCUGGAAAGGUAAAAAAAAAAAAUCUAUUUUUGUACAAAUGUAAUUUUAUCCCUCAUGUAUACUUGGAUAUGGCGGGGGGAGGGCUGGGACUGUUUUGUUUCUGCUUCUAGAGAUUGAGGUAAAAGCUUCGUCCGAGAAACGCCAGGACAGACGAUGGCAGAGGAGAGGGCUCCUGCGACGGCGGCGAGGCUUGGGAGGAAACCGCCGCAAUGGGGGUGUCUUCCUUCGGGGCAGGAGGGUGGGCCUGAGGCUUUCAAGGGUUUUCUUCCCCUUUCGAGUAAUUUUUAAAGCCUUGCUCUGUUGUGUCCUGUUGCCGGCCGGCCUUCCUGUGACUGACUGUGAAGUGGCUUCCCCGUACGAUUGUCUCGGAAACAUCGUGGCCGCAGGUGCCAGGGUUUGAUGGACAGUGGCAUUAGAAUUGUGGAAAAGGAACACGCAAAAGGAGAAAUGUGAGAGGAGAAACAAAAUAUGAGCGUUUAAAAUACAUCGCCAUUCAGUUCGUU
rnacentral:sRNA from 1 species